UUAUCAGGAAGGUUUAUCUUACCUGUUUUCUUAGAAAUAAGAUUACAGAAUAUGUUGGAUGGAUUCAAUGAGUACAUGAUUAUGCUCUGUGUUUUUUAGGGUUUGCAGCUCCUUCGUGAAUCCUGUCUGAU